GAGGGUAUAGCUCAGUGGCAGAAUAUGUGCCUAAUUAGCAUGCACAAGGUCCUGGGUUCAAUCCCCAGUACCUCCA
rnacentral:tRNA from 1 species